rnacentral:rRNA from 1 species
UACGGAGGAUCCGAGCGUUAUCCGGAUUUAUUGGGUUUAAAGGGGGCGUAGGCGGGUUGUUAAGUCAGUUGUGAAAGUUUGCGGCUCAACCGUAAAAUUGCAGUUGAUACUGGCAUCCUUGAGUACAGUAGAGGUAGGCGGAAUUCGUGGUGUAGCGGUGAAAUGCUUAGAUAUCACGAAGAACUCCGAUUGCGAAGGCAGCCUGCUGGACUGUAACUGACGCUGAUGCUCGAAAGUGUGGGUAUCAAACAGG